GAGUGGCGGACGGGUGCGUAACGCGUAUAGAACCUACCCAGUAGUGGGGGAUAGCCCGGGGAAACUCGGAUUAAUACCGCAUACGCCCUACGGGGGAAAGGCCGGGAUCUUCGGACCGGUCGCUAUUGGAUGAGCCUGCGUUGGAUUAGCUAGUUGGUAGGGUAAAGGCCUACCAAGGCGACGAUCCAUAGCUGGUCUGAGAGGAUGAUCAGCCACACUGGGACUGAGACACGGCCCAGACUCC
rnacentral:rRNA from 1 species